GACGAACGCUGGCGGCGUGCUUAACACAUGCAAGUCGAACGGAAAGGCCCUGCUUUUGUGGGGUGCUCGAGUGGCGAACGGGUGAGUAACACGUGAGUAACCUGCCCUUGACUUUGGGAUAACUUCAGGAAACUGGGGCUAAUACCGGAUAGGAGCUCCUGCUGCAUGGUGGGGGUUGGAAAGUUUCGGCGGUUGGGGAUGGACUCGCGGCUUAUCAGCUUGUUGGUGGGGUAGUGGCUUACCAAGGCUUUGACGGGUAGCCGGCCUGAGAGGGUGACCGGCCACAUUGGGACUGAGAUACGGCCCAGACUCCUACGGGGGGCAGCAGUGGGGAAUAUUGCACAAUGGGCGGAAGCCUGAUGCAGCAACGCCGCGUGCGGGAUGACGGCCUUCGGGUUGUAAACCGCUUUCGCCUGUGACGAAGCGUGAGUGACGGUAAUGGGUAAAGAAGCACCGGCUAACUACG
rnacentral:rRNA from 1 species